UACGGAGGAUGCGAGCGUUAUCCGGCUUUAUUGGGUUUAAAGGGUGCGCAGGCGGAAUGUCAAGUCAGCGGUAAAAUUUCGGGGCUCAACCCCGUCGUGCCGUUGAAACUGGCGUUCUUGAGUGAGCGAGAAGUAUGCGGAAUGCGUGGUGUAGCGGUGAAAUGCAUAGAUAUCACGCAGAACUCCGAUUGCGAAGGCAGCUUACCAGUCUGCGACUGACGCUCAGGCACGAAAGUGUGGGUAUCGAACAGG
rnacentral:rRNA from 1 species